rnacentral:tRNA from 1 species
AUUUAAAUAGCUUAUAUGAGUAGAGCAUAAUAUUGAAAAUAUUAAGGAAAAUUUUUUAAUUUUUUAAAUA